CGAACGGGUGAGUAAUACAUCGGAACGUGCCCAGUCGUGGGGGAUAACUACUCGAAAGAGUAGCUAAUACCGCAUACGAUCUGAGGAUGAAAGCGGGGGACCUUCGGGCCUCGCGCGAUUGGAGCGGCCGAUGGCAGAUUAGGUAGUUGGUGGGAUAAAAGCUUACCAAGCCGACGAUCUGUAGCUGGUCUGAGAGGACGACCAGCCACACUGGGACUGAGACACGGCCCAGACUCCUACGGGAGGCAGCAGCU
rnacentral:rRNA from 1 species